rnacentral:rRNA from 1 species
UACAGAGGGCUCAAGCGUUGUCCGGAUUCAUUGGGCGUAAAGAGCGUGUAGGCGGCCAGGCAGGUCCGCUGUGAAAACUCGAGGCUCAACCUCGAGAUGUCGGUGGAAACCGUCUGGCUAGAGUCCGGAAGAGGAGAGUGGAAUUCCCGGUGUAGCGGUGAAAUGCGCAGAUAUCGGGAAGAACACCCGUGGCGAAGGCGGCUCUCUGGGACGGUACUGACGCUGAGACGCGAAAGCGUGGGGAGCGAACAGG